rnacentral:misc_RNA from 1 species
GAUGAAGAACGCAGCGAAAUGCGAUAAGUAAUGCGAAUUGCAGAAUUCAGUGAGUCAUCGAAUCUUUGAACGCACAUUGCGCCCUGUGGUAUUCCGCAGGGCAUGCCUGUUCGAGCAUCAUUUCAACCCUCAAGCCUCGCUUGGUGUUGGGCCCUGCCCGCCGCGGCCGGCCCUAAAGAUAGUGGCGGCGCCGCCUGGCCCUCAGCGUAGUACAGCUCUCGCUCCAGGGUCCGGCGGCAGCCUGCCAGAACCCCCCAACUCUGUGGUUGACCUCGGAUCAGGUAGGGAUACCCGCUGAACUUAAGCAUAUCAAUAAGCGGAGGA